rnacentral:rRNA from 1 species
UUGAACGCUGGCGGCAUGCCUAACACAUGCAAGUCGAACGCUCAUCAGACUUCGGUUUGGUGGGAGUGGCGGACGGGUGAGUAAUACGUAGGAAUCUGCCCAAUAGUGGGGGACAACUUAGGGAAACUUAAGCUAAUACCGCAUAAGCCCUUCGGGGGAAAGCAGGGGACCGCAAGGCCUUGCGCUAAUGGAUGAGCCUACGUCGGAUUAGCUUGUUGGUAGGGUAACGGCCUACCAAGGCGACGAUCCGUAGCUGGUUUGAGAGAACGACCAGCCACACUGGGACUGAGACACGGCCCAGACUCCUACGGGAGGCAGCAGUGGGGAAUAUUGGACAAUGGGGGAAACCCUGAUCCAGCAAUGCCGCGUGUGUGAAGAAGGCCUUCGGGUUGUAAAGCACUUUCGAUGGGGAAGAAAAGCGAAUGGCUAAUAUCUGUUCGUCUUGACAUUACCUAGAGAAGAAGCACCGGCUAACUCUGU